ACCUAACAACGUUCCUUUCCCACAACCAAAAACUGAUCUGAGUGGUUUAAAAAGAAGAAAAGUAACAUUGAAACUGGACUUCAAUCGUUUUGUAACGCAUGGGCUAGUUUCAAACAAAU
rnacentral:snoRNA from 1 species